CGUCUAUAUACGUAUAGCAUAUCAAUAAGCGGAGGAAAAGAAACUAACUAGGAUUCCCUUAGUAACGGCGAGUGAAGCGGGAAGAGCUCAAAUUUGAAAUCUUCAAGGUUUUACCUUGACGAAUUGUAGUUUAAAGAAGUGUUUUCUGUUGGAGUUUUGGUAAAAGUUCUUUGGAAAUAGGACAUCAUAGAAGGGUGAGAAUCCCGUAUUUGACCAUUACUUUCAGCUGUGUGAUACACUUUCAAAGAGUCGGAUUGUUUGGGAAUGCAGUCCAAAAUGGGUGGUAAAUUUCAUCUAAAGCUAAAUAUUGGCGAGAGACCGAUAGCGAACAAGUACCGUGAGGGAAAGAUGAAAAGAACUUUGAAAAGAGAGUUAAACAGUACGUGAAAUUGUCAAAAGGGAAGCGUUUGACACCAGUGUUGUUUUCUCGAAAAUCAAUUACAAAGUGUUUGGAUUUUGAUGAGUUAAUGACCUUCAUCAGCUACUGCUCCUUCUUUACUGAAUCUUUCUUAAUGCACUUUUCGGUUAACAAGUCAACAUCAGUUUCUUUUGUUGUAAAAGAGUAUUCGGAAGGUGGCUUUCUUUUCGGAGAAAGUGUUUAUAGCCUUGUGCCUCCUGCAAUCGGAGAGAUUGAGGUCUGCAGCGUAGAUCCUUCUGGAUUAGAUACAUUUGUGCUAAGUUAUAAGCGUUUCAUAGACAACUUGUUGACUAUAUUUAGAUCCUUGUAGCUUACUCGCUUACUGCUAAUUUUACCUACGCUUAGGAUGUUGACUGAUAUGUAGUCGUA
rnacentral:rRNA from 1 species